rnacentral:snoRNA from 1 species
UUUUGUGAUGAUCUUUUAUAUUCACACUGUCCGAGGAAGUUUAACUACUCUCCAGUGAUUAACAAACAAAAAACUGAUUUAAUGACUCUGAUU